UCUUUGCUCUGGCUGAAUAGGGCUUUGCUAAGGGGCUCUGUUUAUUCUUAACUAUUGCAGCAGCCUUUGGGCCUGAGUCUAUAAAAUGCUAACAGAGGGCAACCUCACUCCAGUAAUAUCAGGGCAGGCAAUUAACACAUGACUGUCUGCAGCUCUCAGCAGAUGGCUGAUACACAUGCAAUCUUUAGCUCUGACUGAGAGGGACCUUUCCAAGGAGACCUUAUUUCUCCCUACAGCAGCAAUAAAUAACCUGGAAGUGCAGCUGCCAAUUGGCUUUAAAGGUCAACAGAAAAUCUCACCCAGGCUUCCUGCUGCCAGGCGGCUGUCAGCUGGCUUUCUGCUCUGAGCACACUGGCAAAUGGAAUGCAUCUAGCUAAGUAUAUAAGUCUCACAAGCUGCCUCUCAAUCUGGACCUGUGGAGCUGAGAGAAAGUACCUUAGCAAAGAGGAGAGAGACAGCGAGAAAUCAGAGUAAAACCGCAGAUGAUGGGAACACGCUGUAAAACUGCUUUCAGCCCCUGAAAGAAGCCAGUGUAGCGAACAACUUGUUCUGCUAAGGGACAAGUGUUGAGUUACUGCCCUUUCCUGAGGACCUCUGUGAACACAUCUAUGAAGAGCACACAGAUCCCUUCAGAAGCUAAAUAGUGAGACUACUUCAGCUGAAGGAAAAGGAAGAAUCGAGUUGAGUUCUGCUUACUUUUUUUUGUUGACCUUCAAGGAGUUUUAAUCAACUCUGUUAAACAAGAACAACCUGUAGGAUGGACAAGCUCUUGUCAGAACAACUGGUUUGAGAACUGAGAUCUAGCCAUCUUUUCCUUUCUGAGACAAGUAGAUUUUGGUACAGGAGGAAAGCUAAACCUUUGACUUCAACAGACCUUGCAGAUGUGCUGCACAAGCAAGGCAUGAACAUGUGGAAAGGAAGUCUCCUUAGUGAAAGAGGCCGCUCUAACAGCUAUAUUCCUAAUAUUGGCUUUGCCUAUUUUCUGGUAGCAUGGAUGCAGAUUAGUAUCAGAAACAGAAGCUGUCACUAGAAAACUUAGGACAGACUAUUCAAAAGGGGAAACAAGGGCAAAUGGGAGGAUGCUGAAUAAAUAAAUGUGAAAUGGUUAAAAAAGGAUGGAAAAUUCGAAGGGGAGGAUUUAAAGACAGAUGAAAAAAGCCAUGAAAAGUCUUAUGUAAUAGUAGUCUAGAGGGUGGAGAAAUGCAAAAGCAAAUACCAGGACAGAAUGACUUUUUGAAUA